AACAACCCUGGUGUAAAGCCUGUGAUUGCUGCCAUUUAUGGUGCUCUAACGCAGCUUCAGGCUUUUCAAGGAAACAGAAACUGAAAAUUGGGCAGGAUUUUGAGUGUUGCUCAAGAUAGAGAGGCUUUGCAGUGGUGCAUUGUAAAUAAUGACUGUGGUACGUGGCUUGCUCAUUUGGGUGUUUAUCCUAUGAGUCUGUUGGCUUGCUUUAAUAGAAUUAGGCAAGCAAUUGUUGGAGGGGAUCUAGUGAACCACUGCCUCGCCCAGUCAUGAUUUUCAAGGUUAAGGCAAUGUCAGAGCUGUCUGCUGUGAGAACCUGGUGAUGCAACUCCAGCAUUGUCACUGGUAUUUUGAGUUGUGCAGUGGCACUAUUGGGAACAAGAUGAUGGGCAGCUAGAAGGACUGAGUUACGCAGCUGUUAUCUCGUGUUUUGUUUUCUCUCUGAGGCUCGGGCCUGUGUUGUUGAUGUAGUUCAGUGAAAACCACAGGUCACACUGUGCCAUGGUGUGAGGCUGUGAUCACAGUUUUGAUCCUCCACAGUGAGGAGGUGCUGUGGAAACCCGGGGUGCCUCCCUGCUGGCUGACGUGCCAAAAUAGCCUUUCUUUGGAAACCAGAGUGCAAACUGGUCUCAUCCUGAUAUGCAGUCAGGACAUAGGUGGGAUUUCCUCUGCAUCUCAGGGUAGAGAUGUUGCGUUUAUUUACCUUGAGGCCUAGCUCCAGAAGGAAUAGCUGCUAACCCCAGUUAAAACUUUCCCCUUAGUAGGUACAGGAUGCUCCAAAUCUGGGUAUGUUUUUAAAAAUGCAGACUUGUCAAGUGCCAGAAGAGACCUGCUUUUCACGGUGGAUUCACAGAGACCAAAGAGGAAGCAGAGGUUCAUGUUUGGCCUUGCAACAAGACAGACUGCACUUGUGAGAGCUCUGAAGGGGGAAGAGCUACUACCAGUCAUGUCUGGACUCUUUGAAGUUGGGGUGGUUGAAGGCACUGCUUUUCCUGGCCAUUCACUCCUGUUUUGCCAGAUAGGUCAUUAAUAGUGGCUUUGAACCACCGGCUCAAAAGUUGUACAAAGGUCUAGGAGAUGGAAAAUGGAAACAUUUUAGUGUUCACAAAUGUCUUUUAAUAUCCCUGAAUAUGCUGAGAUGUAGCUGUGAGCCUGCUCCUUUUGCUACCACACUUUUUGUAGGUUGGGGACAAGGAAGCAGAGGGAUGGAUCCUCAGAAGGUGUGAUUUAUGAGUAUGGUUUCUUUGCUUUAGCAGAACCAUGGCGUAGUUUAACUGAUUACUUUGAUUCUCUCUGGUUUUUACUUCCUCUACUUAGUUUGGGGAACAAGUAAUAGUCAGAAUGGAUUUUAUAGAGCCUUAAAAUGCUCCUGUAGAGGAAGAAAGAUUCUUGUCGUGGUUUAGGGCUGCACAAAUACUACUGACAGAAAAGAUCAUGCAAAUAUAAAAAUUUGUGUCAGACUAAUAUCAAUACAGAACUGGCAAGGCAAGUCAAUGAAACUUUUCCUCACAUCUCCAACAUUUAAACAGUUGGCUGUAAUCUGUUGUCAGAAUGGAAAUGGGAAAGUUCUGAAGUUUGCCAGUGUACAGAAUUAAUGUUCUGGUACACCUCAAUACAACAAUGUCACACAUGGGUCUGUCCUCACCACCUUGUGGCAGCUAGCAUCUUCUGAGUGAAAUCUCUCUUUCAAAACAGAAUGGAAAUUCAAGAAAAAGAGUUUUAAACUAUGCAGACAAAGUUUAUGUUUUAUUUUACAGGCUUUUGAUAUGAGAGGAGGCAAAUGACACAUUGACAUAUUCUUAAGGCUCAUACGAAGUAGCCAGAGGUGAUGAACUGUUCUACUGAAAAAUCCAUUUCCUUUUGAGUUCAAAAUCUAAAAUCCUCUGGAGACAUAAAAAGUCCUUCUUGUUAGGAGUUCCUCUACAAAACUGACGUCAUAAAUUGCCUAAUUUUUAGAUGAAAGACCCUUUGAUAACACCAUUUUACGUGAUCCAUGUUCAUGUUAUUGUUGGAUAACAUUUUGGAUAUGUUUAAUAUGUCAUGCUUAACAAAAGUUUUCUAAAGACCUUUUCUGUCCUCAGCAUGGAAAAGUUUUUUCACUUCCUUUUCUUCCUUCAAGCUUAUUUUCCCAACACUUAUCAUCUCUCAUUAGGUCUUAUCUUUCUUCUGGGUAGGAUUGUUUUCCCAAUUCAUACACAGAAGCCCAGUUGAUUUCUGAGUGCAAUCUUUCCAUGCCAUGCUACCCAGAGGUUCAGAGAUAACUCUGUUUGCUUGGGUAAUGUUGGUGAAUAGAACACAAUGCAAUUUUAAAACCUUUUUCUGGAAGGAAAAAAAAAAGACUUUGUAUACCUCUGGAGAAUGGAAGUAAAUUACAUUCUUCCAUUAUGUAUGUGAAUCUGAUUAUGAGGAUGGUGGAAUUAAUUUAUGUGGUUAUAAAGAACAUGGCAUCUUCUAAAAUGCACAUGAUUAUUUUUAGUUUUGUUGAUUUUAGCUGAACCUUAGACAUUUCUCAGUGUAUGUUACAAAUGCAUAUUGCUUUCUGAGACAGAGUGAAUGCAGCACUAGAAAGCAAUUAUGGAACUAAUAUAUCUCCCUGAAAUGUACUUUGUGAUGCAGGAUUUUACUCAUGUUUCUAAAAAUUACUUAAACUUCUGCCUAAAUUAUACUGGUAUCACAAAUAUGCCACUUAAAGCAAUUUAUCGCAAAGAUACCAUCUUGGUAAGAAGAAGUAUUCCAUGACUGGCAAGAAUAACUUGCUUUCCUUAAUAACGGUCUUCCCCAGGUCCAAAAUGUUUUUUUUCAGUGAGGAGUGUAAUGUGUGCCUAUCCUGUGCCCUGGGGCACCUGCCCUGUUCUCUGAGCCACAGAGAACAGAAAGAACAUGUAUUUUGGCACUGAAACACCCAAGCAACAAAGCAGACAGUCAUCAUACAAAAAUAACCUCUUCAAACAAACCCUCUGUCACCCAGCUUCCUGGGGAGUUUUGUGUAGGAAUAAUUUUUUUUCCCCUUGUACCACAUGUUGCCACAGUCUCAACUUCAAGAAUGAUCAGAGACCUACAAAACAUGAUCUGAGGGGAAGGAUUGAAAGAAUUGGGGUUGUUUAGUCUGAAGAAAAGGAAGGUGUUGGGAAAAACGGUAAUGAUCUUUCAAAAAUAGAAAAUGUUUCUCUGCAGAGAGAAGGAAUCAGUUUUUCUUUAUGUUCAGUGGGUCUAGGGCAAGAGGUGAUGGACUUGGAGAUUUAAAGUAGAUAUUAGGAAAUUAUUUCAACCUGAAAAUGUAGUUUGGCAGUGAAAAUGAUUAUCUGGGAAUCUCAUUUGCUGAAGGCUUUGAAAGGCAGAUUAGGUCACACGUCUCAGGAAUGGUUUUAGUUGCAGUAGAUUAUAUGGUAAUAACCCCAAAAGGUUCCUGGCUGGUUUAUGAUGUUUUGUUUCUCUCAGGUGAUUUACAGCAGGUGCUUUACUGCUGUGUUAUUUUGAUUCUCACUCUUCUUUGUAUGCUCAGAAAAUGCCAGGAAGAAAAAAUGUCAAUAGGUAAAAAAUUGGGUAAGUAGGAUGGGUGGGGACAUUCCCAGUAGCAGAAUACUACAAAAUCACAGUUCCUGCAGGAAAGCUGGUGUGCUUGAGCAGAGUGUGACAUGCUGACAUGUCCUCCUGACAGGCUUUGGCACACAGGUUUUGGGCUGGCUCUCAACAAGUGGUGGUUAGUCAAUACACAGAAAUCUGUGUUUUAAAUUUUAGUUUGAGCUUCACUAUUUGCUGUAUUUGAGUAUUUCCUGAAUUUGCAUGGAGUGAAUUCUAUCCACAGUUCACCUGAAGCCAAUUUGUUAGACUUCUUGUUCCUCCAGUUCUCUACAACAGUAAGGUAGUACCCAAAGUGCAUGUAAUUCUUUGAAACAGAGUUGAGGAAUUAAUUGUUCUAGUUAAAUAUGCAUUCUGCUGCAAAAUUUAAAACACCUCUUGUUCACCUUCUCCAUACUCUUCCUGUUUUUCUCAUUUUCACCAUUCUUCCUAUAGCCUAAAAUCUCUCUUUUCUUCCUGUAGGUAACUGUAGGUCUUCUGCAAUAACAGAGUGAUAAAAUGACACUUGAAUAGAUGCAUGAGAACCUCGGGAGUGUGAUAUGUCAACUCUGGUUGACAGAGACAACUCUGCCCAAGUCCAAGAUCACCUAUGUCUUUGUCAUUCCUUGACAGAAAACUGCUGAAACUCUUUCUGGAUACUGAUUGAUGGCUACAGCCCAGCCUCUUUGUCCAGAGCUGUGGUGGUGCCACAUUUCUGUGGCCCCAUUGCACCAGUCACCACCAGAGGAUCCACUUCCCCAGGGAUGGAUCCUGGUGCCUGUGCUGCAUCAGCCAGGAGAGGAGAAGGACAGACCCCUGCUGUCACCAAGGACACCCAAAUCUCUCCUGAGCCUCAUCCAAAAAGGUUCCAUAAUGUACAGUUCCUUAUGGCAGGACACUUCUGCUAUUGUUUUGAGCAUUUUAAAAUGUUAUCAGGCAAUAAUUGCUAUCACAACUUUUAAUUCUGUGUUUCUGUUUCAAAUUUUCCUCAGUUCAAUCAGAACCAAAAGUUAAUGCCCAUUGGCUAAUUUCCAGUGCAUGCCUCCACAGAACAACUGCUGCCUUUAACUGGUGGAGAGAUCAAGGCUUGAACUGACAAAAGACAUCUGUAUUUUGGAAAACAAAUUAAUGUUUAUGUUUUAAUUUAUAAGUUCCUGGCUCUUUUAUGGUUCCUGUUUUUCAAGUAAUGUCUCUUUGGAUCCCUAGCUGAUGGAGAGUCAAAAUGGAAAAGGCCCAUGAGAGAAUUAUCACAAUAGAACAUCUGGUCUGCAUUGGAAAAAGCUGAGAAAGAUAUUCAACAUCCCUGAGACUGAGGCAGCCAUGAGGCAGUUUGAAAGUCAGUCCAUGAAAAAUUGUGCAGGUUGUAGCCACCUGGGCCAAUCUAGUGUUGUUUUGGGAAGAGCUACUCUGCUCAUGAGCAUAUGAAUUUUAAUCUCCCAUAAGCAUGGAUAUGUGAGAGCUGGGAGUGGUAUGAAAGGUGUUUGCUUUCCAUAAUGUUAAUCUGAGUCCCAGCAUUGUCCUAAUUAUAUUGUGGGUUUUUGCCAGUCUCCCAGAUUUCUUUUGAGCAUGUAGGCUGGAGUCAAAAGGCUUUCCCAGGGCUUUUGGCAUAGCUUUACAGGAAAGUGGAUGGAAAGGACUUUGUAUAUUUUUGGAAGAAUAUUUUGCAUCCUGCUUUAAACUAUUCCAGAAGGUAAAAGGACAUUAGCUAGACUGUGUGUUGGCUCAUGUACUGCUAUGUCACUAAUGAGAAGGAAUUUUUUUCCUGUUUUCUGCAGUCACAGACUGUAAGAAAUGCAAAGAAAUCAUGGGCCAGCCAGGGUAGUAAAGGUACCCCUGGAUUCAGAGGGAGCAAACUCCUUCCACCACAUGAAACUUUGGUCCUUUAAGUCAUUAUAGCUCAUGCAGAACAGAAACAAUUUGACAUGUAUAACAAGAAACAUUGCAAAUUGUUUGCCAAACAAAGACUUAUACUGCAGAUGGAAGAACUGAUGAAAAUUGUUUAUAGAUGGGGAACUAAAUGUAGAUUUUUCAAGAACAAGGUUGCUGUCUUCCUUGCCAAGACAAACAAAUCUGAUAGACCAUCUCAUUGCUUUAGACUGCCUGAGGACCCACUAGAAAGUCUAUGGACCUUUUUCCACAGAAAAUUUGUGUAUUGUCAAUACAUAAGUGUAUUGUCCACAGUUACACUGUGGCAGCUGCAGAGGAAGUGGAAGGUUCUCAGGAAUACAUUAGGGAGAACUGGAUUUUUGGCUUCUGAAACAGUGUGGAGUGCUUUUGGAAACUGUGGAAGUUUAUAAGCUGGAUGUUAAUGCUACAAAAGGUUAUCUGUGAGUUAAAUAUAAUAGUAAUUAAACUGCUGACUUUAAAUCUUAACACUAACAACACAAUGAAAUUGAGAAUUGCUAUCUUCUAGAAUUGCAGUUUCCAAGAUGCCUUCAUUCCUGUGAACCUACCCUGGUCUGCAUUUAGAGAUUUUCAGUGUUACCUUUAGAAAUCUGUGCACAGAUGUUUUUACAAAGCACUGUGUAAUCAUCCCAAACAAUGGUUUUAAUGGGCCAGUUAUUUGGGAAAUCAUGUAAUGAGAACAUAAAUACAAUCCCUGAUACUGACAUAAAACAUGUAUUAGCAAAAUAAUAUAGUUUGUAUUUCCUUGAUAUAGAGCAGACCCUGGAAAUACGUAACUCAUCAUGUCCUUAAAAUUCUGUUAUAUCUGUAAACAUGUAUAUUGGCAGAGAGGCCCAGCAGCAUCCUGGGCUGCAUUAGGAAGAGCUUUGCUAGGAAGUCAAAGGAGGUGAUCAUUCCCCUUUGCCCAGCACUGGUGAGACUUCAGUGGGAGUGUUGUGCCCAGUUCUGGGCUCCUCACAGCAGGAAGGACAUGGAAAUGCUGGAGGGAGGGCAGGAAAGGGCUGUGAGGGUGGACAAGAGGAGCGUGUGUCCUGUGGCUGCCCAGGGAGGUUUUGAAGUUGACAUCAUUGAAGAAACUCCAAACUCAACUGAGCAAGGUCCCAAGCACCCUGCCCUGGGUGAUCCAGCUUUGAGCUGGGCUUGGGCUGAGUGAUCUCUGUUGAUGCUUCCAGACUGGGAAUAUUUGAAGCACUUUGCUUGUGUCUUGUCAGUGUUUUAGCUGCAACUUGACUGUGGAGAAAUCCUAAGGAGAACAAAGGCUGUGACCCCAGAAAUUCAUCCAGAUGGCUGAGGCCCAGAAAAGGCAUAAUGGGAGCUGCUAAGUAUUCUGAAUAUCUCAUCAGAGUGAUAUUUCACUUAAAAAUACAAAAUAGAAAUUACUGGGGUCUUAAUGACACUGAAUACUCAUAAUGUUCUCUCACUUCAGCUGGACUGCAGAUGGUAACAGCCUCUCUCUAUCUGAACACACUUUUUUUAGUUUAACCUUGCUCUGUAAAAUCUUCACACAUAUUUUACUCUAGAAAUUAAUACUUGGUGCUUUACAGUGCAGAAUUUAUUUGCUGGUUUUUUCUAUGCUUUCUUUCCUUACUACUUUGUUACUGAUAUUAACAAAUUACAAUCUAUUUUGACAUAUUUCUUCAGCACAUACUAUGUCUCAAGGAAUUAAAAAUAUCAUAAUUUGAGCAAGGUAACAUCAAAAUAUAUAAUUACAUUAUAUAUUCUAUGGCAUUUAGUUUGUAGCUAUUCUUAUAGUACCUUCAAAAUAAGAAGGAAGACGAAAUUCAAAAAGGGCUUUCAUAGUUUAAAAAUAUUUAUGUUGAAACAAGAUUUAUGUUGAAAGGCAAAGAUAACUUUUUUUUUAAAUCAGCUGAAUGGUGAUAGGAAGAUUCACCUGUGGUUUUUUUCUUUAUGAAAAUGCUAAGAAGCUAACUUAUAGCAUUGAGAAUUCCCAGAUCCUUCUUUUGAAAAUUCUUUGUCUUUUAUAUUCUUCUUAAGGAAAGAGGAAAGCACACUGGAAAACAAGAAAUUGAAUAACAUUGAACAAGUAAUUAGGAAAUAAAUAGAUUAUAAAGCAUUUUAUUUAAUUUUGGUUUU
rnacentral:lncRNA from 1 species